GUUCAUCAACAUAACCCAGUUAGGGUCGCACUCAUCACGGGGCCCCCAUUGCCUCUGGCGCACCCCACGACUGACAUCUGCGGGGCCUUCGCGCUAGGCUUCGAGUUUCAGCUUCCGCACCAGGCCUGCCUUUCUGCAGGGGCCAGGGUGGGGGUCGUGUGCUGAUUGGGCCCUCUGAACCGCCACCGCUGCAGAGGGGCUGUUCCUUCUGUCACAUCCCUUGUGCCCGAAUCCACCCUGUGUCUUCUCUUUUCUCAGCAGGACAUUUUAAAAGCCCAGACCCCCUCCUUACAGAGCAAAUGUCCAGGCUUCGGAGGUCACUGUCACAUCCCAAGAACCCCCUUCACCAGGUGCCACUCUUGAGACUGGACUGAAGCCCCCUGGAGAGUUCCACUUGCCUUUGUCCUGCUGCCUGAGGUGAGGACAUGGACGGCCGGGUACAAGACGGGGCAGGCAACCUCGCAGUGGUGGUAACCCUGUGCAUGAACCCUGGGCCUGGCACGUGGACCUCCUGUGACCGUCCCCACAGGCCCGUGAGGCUGAGCUUGGCACUGCCCAAGACCACACAGUCCAUGCGCGGUGGAGCUGGGGUCCAGGCUGCCCACCAGGGCAGUGACUACAAUGGUGGCAGCAGGGGACGGUCACCGUCAUGAGCUCAAGCCAGGCGCUGCACUGACCUUGAGGGAGGGCUCCAUGCUUCCCCUUCCCACAGCUGCAGUGAGGCCUAGCAGAGCAGGGUCGGCUGCGGGCUUGAGUCCUGGGGUGCCCCUGGGCUGACGGGCCCUGCCUGACCUGCUCCUCCAGUGCCCCAGCCCUGCCCCACCCACGUCCCCUCCUCUCACUGCCCCCUGGCCCACUCCGCUGCGGUCUCAGUGCCUUCCCAGGCUGGGCAUCAUCUGAUGGGAGGAAAAUGAGGGCCCCAGACUCUGUGUCAUCCUGGCAGGACCCCUCCCCUCCCAUGGCUUUGAGCCCAUGAGAUGGCCUUGGACAAAGCGGCAAUGGGCCCUUCCUGAGACACAGUGCGGCCAUCUACUGGAAAACUGCCCAGUGUGACUCUGAUGACUGUGAUGUGAAUCCUACAGCAAAGUUGAGCAGUGCGCAACCUGGGCUACUGCACCUGGCAGCCCCGGCUCCUCCUCGUCUGCCUCUUCCUGCUCCUUCAUUCUCCCCCAGAGCUCUAAUUGUCACUGAGAUUUUAUGUUUCAUUUAACAAAUGACUGUCUCCCCGCUUGAACAGAACCUCCAUGGGGGGAGGGAAGAGUGUCUGUUGUAUAAAUAGUUGUAUUUCAGUGCAUAAAACAGUGCCUGCCUC